GACGAACGCUGGCGGCGUGCCUAAUACAUGCAAGUAGAACGCACAGUUUAUACCGUAGCUUGCUACACCAUAGACUGUGAGUUGCGAACGGGUGAGUAACGCGUAGGUAACCUGCCUGGUAGCGGGGGAUAACUAUUGGAAACGAUAGCUAAUACCGCAUAAUAUUGAUUAUUGCAUGAUAAUUGAUUGAAAGAUGCUAUUGCAUCACUACCAGAUGGACCUGCGUUGUAUUAGCUAGUAGGUGAGGUAACGGCUCACCUAGGCGACGAUACAUAGCCGACCUGAGAGGGGGAUCGGCCACACUGGGACUGAGACACGGCCCAGACUCCUACGGGAGGCAGCAGUAGGGAAUCUUCGGCAAUGGACGAAAGUCUGACCGAGCAACGCCGCGGGAGUGAAGAAGGGUUUCGGAUCGUAAAGCUCUGUUGUAAGAGAAGAACGGGUGUGAGAGUGGAAAGUUCACACUGUGACGGUAGCUUACCAGAAAGGGACGGCUAACUACGUG
rnacentral:rRNA from 1 species